rnacentral:misc_RNA from 1 species
UCUCCUCUCCCCCAUCUCUCCUGUACGCACUCUCUCUCUCCUCCCCAAGCUGCUGACUGGCUCGCGAAGUCGCCAAGGGAUCAAUCGAGAUCUAAUCUCGUUUCUGAGAUGGGUGCAUCUACCGCCAUGGGAGCGCUCGAGCAGGCCCACCUCGCGGCCGUCGCUUCCGCAUGCGAUGAUGAUGAGCAAAACGACGCCGCAGGCCUUGCACGACGGCGACGAACCCGUCGACACCGCGUCGCCGGCGACGAGCCCCGACGGGGAUGCCACGAAGCAGCAGGAUUGCGCGUCCUCCGCCACGCCGCA